GCAUCCAUCUCCUGACUCCCCCCUUUCAGUCUGUGUACGGAGGAGGCUGCCAGGGAGGCAGCACAUAAACAACAAGAGGUGGCUCACCCGUGCUCUCUCUCCAAGGGCCGACCAUCGUCAUGCGGAGUUAACAGCGCCACCCAUCAGCGCCGGUCUGGCUGGGAGGAAGGAGAGUGAAGACAAGAGAGAUGUCGGAGAAGUUCAUCAGCGGUUUCUGAUGAGGCUGCUGGUGCUGCUGCAGCCAGCAAACACGCCUCACUGAGUUUCAAUGCAGCUGCGCUUUCCAAGACAAUCAAGAUGUUACCGUCUUCUUUGGAAAGCAAGAGUCAGCUAACAAGAGGCCCCUGCUGGUUGACCACAGCACGUCAAUGUCAAUAACGGCAACAUUCACCGGACUCAACACCACCGCACAAUGAGGACAACAAUUUGGAG
ensembl:lncRNA